rnacentral:rRNA from 1 species
CUGCGAAUGGCUCAUUAUAUAAGUUAUCGUUUAUUUGAUAGUGCCUUACUACUUGGAUAACCGUGGUAAUUCUAGAGCUAAUACAUGCUGAAAAUCCCGACUUCGGAAGGGAUGUGUUUAUUAGAUUAAAAACCAAUGCCCUCUGGGCUCCUUGGUGAUUCAUGAUAACUGUUCGAAUCGCAUGGCCUUGCGCCGGCGAUGGUUCAUUCAAAUUUCUUCCCUAUCAACUUUCGAUGUUUGGGUAUUGGCCAAACAUGGUCGCAACGGGUAACGGAGGGUUAGGGCUCGACCCCGGAGAAGGAGCCUGAGAAACGGCUACUACAUCCAAGGAAGGCAGCAGGCGCGCAAAUUACCCAAUCCCGAUCCGGGGAGGUAGUGACAAUAAAUACUGAUACAGGGCUCUUUUGGGUCUUGUAAUUGGAAUGAGUACAAUUUAAAUCCCUUAACGAGGAACAAUUGGAGGGCAAGUCUGGUGCCAGCAGCCGCGGUAAUUCCAGCUCCAAUAGCGUAUAUUAAAGUUGUUGUGGUUAAAAAGCUCGUAGUUGAACCUUGGGCCUGGCUGGCCGGUCCGCCUCACCGCGUGCACUGGUCCGGCCGGGCCUUUCCCUCUGCGGAACCCCAUGCCCUUCACUGGGUGUGGCGGGGAAGCAGGACUUUUACUUUGAAAAAAUUAGAGUGCUUCAGGCAGGCCUAUGCUCGAAUACAUUAGCAUGGAAUAAUGAAAUAGGACGCGCGGUUCUAUUUUGUUGGUUUCUGGGACCGCCGUAAUGGUUAAUAGGGACAGUCGGGGGCAUCAGUAUUCAAUCGUUAGAGGUGAAAUUCUUGGAUCGAUUGAAGACUAACUACUGCGAAAGCAUUUGCUAAGGAUGUUUUCAUUAAUCAGGAACGAAAGUUAGGGGAUCGAAGACGAUCAGAUACCGUCGUAGUCUUAACCAUAAACUAUGCCGACUAGGGAUCGGACGACGUUAAUUUUUGACGCGUUCGGCACCUUACGAGAAAUCAAAGUGC